UCGCGGUGAAUACGUUCCCGGGUCUUGUACACACCGCCCGUCACACCAUGGGAGCGGGUUUUACCAGAAGUAGGUAACCGCAAGGAGCGUCCUAGGGUAAAACCGAUAACUGGGGCU
rnacentral:rRNA from 1 species